rnacentral:rRNA from 1 species
AUUGAACGCUGGCGGCAUGCCUUACACAUGCAAGUCGAACGGUAACGCGGGGCAACCUGGCGACGAGUGGCGAACGGGUGAGUAAUGCAUCGGAACGUGCCCGGUAGUGGGGGAUAACUGCUCGAAAGAGCAGCUAAUACCGCAUACGACCUGAGGGUGAAAGGGGGGGAUCGCAAGACCUCUCGCUAUCGGAGCGGCCGAUGUCGGAUUAGCUAGUUGGUGGGGUAAAGGCCUACCAAGGCGACGAUCCGUAGCUGGUCUGAGAGGACGACCAGCCACACUGGGACUGAGACACGGCCCAGACUCCUAUGGGAGGCAGCAGGGGGGAAUUUUGGACAAUGGACGCAAGUCUGAUCCAGCCAUGCCGCGUGCGGGAAGAAGGCCUUCGGGUUGUAAACCGCUUUUGUCAGGGAAGAAAUCUUCUGAGUUAAUACCUCGGGAGGAUGACGGUACCUGAAGAAUAAGCACCGGCUAACUACGUGCCAGCAGCCGCCGGUAACAC